AAUUAUGACAGACAUGCGCCACCAUGCCCAGGUAUUUCAGGACAGCCAGGAGUGGGUGCACAUCCGCUGAGAAACUGAGGAAAAGCAUCUGUGCUGAGCUCUGGCGCCACCAGAGGGCGCGCGAACCCACCCCUGACCAACUUCCCUGUGAGGUGCCGGAAGCAGUGAGGAGCUUUGACUUCCUCGGGGCAGCAGGAGGGUCUUGUCAACUAAGUCUUGUUCAUUGAAACACGUGGGCUUGGAGGCUCUGUGUCAGUUUCCAUUUCCAGAAUGAUGGCGCUGAACACUUCAUCCUGACUUUACGUGGUGCAGCGGGACGGCCACCAGAGGGCGCGUGUCCGCUGCCAGUGUCUUGAGUGCGAGGGCCGCCAACAGAGGGCACGAGAGCCCAGUUUUUCUCAUCCCGACCGAGGCCACAGCUUCCCACCCAUUUCCUCCGUGUAGGCCCCUGUGAGGGCAGGAGGGGGGUUCUCCUCAGCACAGACCUGGGGACACCCCUCACUUUGGGACACCUUGAGCCCACAUCCAUGCUUCGUAGGUGGAACAGACUUGCCUUUUCACAGAUGAGACUAUGGAGUUUUGAGUUAAUCUUGAAAUAAGACUUGUGGAACUGUUGGGAAGGCAUGAUUGGUUUUGAAAUAGGAGGACAUAAGGUUUGAGGGGUCAAAGUUAAUCAUAGGAAUGUAGUUAAACAUAAAAAUUUUGCAAACCCGUUUUUA